UGCAUUUCCUCAAGAGGAAUAUAUUUCACGAGGCCACUAACAACUGUUCGAGGGGAUUCUUCACCGACAUCAAUUUCUUCAACAUAGAGUGAAUCUGCAUCUGGGUGCUUCUGAACUUUUUUGAUGAGGCCAACAGGUUCUAUUGACAAAGUUUUAUGUUGUGGUUUUAUUUGCCGAUAUGAAUGGGGUACUUGAAGAGUAUGAUUUAUCAAAUCUGUUAUUGUGAUUGUAGCAACUACAUUUCUCCAAAUUUCAGCUAUCAACCCUGUUUUACGUCUUCUACAGAAUGUUGGAAAAGGUUGAUAUGGAAGAAUCAGCAAGUGAGAAAGAGGAGUCCG